UCAUUCAGUUCCCACAGCCAACUGGGGCAGGGACUCAGAGAGGUGAUGAGUUGACUUCUCCCCUCUCUCCUUCCAGUUUCUAAGUAGUCAUGUUAGGUUAAUUGGCUACACCUGUCCCAUUCCCACAUCUGUGCCCCUUGUCCUUCGCUCACCUAUCUUCUGGUGCUGAUGGCAGGACCGGACACCAGCAUGUCCGCAGAACGAAGUUUCACUGCCUCUUAGUGAAGUGUCCCCACACUGCAUGUCUGGAGCCUUUUCCUAAGAGAACAGAUGGCUGCGGGACCCAGAACACUCUCAGGGCUCCCAGUGCCUCUUCUCUAAAUCUGUGUUUUCCUCUAGGGUGGCACCCACCCACACGUUCCCAGAACAGCAGUGUGACCCUGGCAUGCGUUGGGACAAAAGCUGUCUUUUUUAUUUCAGUUUUGAUAAGCCCUACAAAGACACCCUGGUGAGAAGUCAGCUCUGCCUCAUGCUCACAGAAUAGGCUGUUCUUGGGCAGGCUUCUUUGUUCCUGUGGGUCUUUGCCAUCAGCCUCCCAGGAAGAACCUGUUUGAGACCUGUGGGGGCGUGAGAGGAAUGGGUAAGCGCUUUGAGAUUUAAUCUGUAGCAGUUGACUGACUUAAAAGCCACUUGGAACAGAAGCCAUCGUGAGGGAACAUGGUGAAGAGUAUCAUAAAAAUCUGAGAGUCCUCAAAUGGAAGAGAACGUCUCCUCACUGAACCUUGAGCAGAAGAAAUUCUCAUGAUCCUCCUAGUUUUCACCGUGUUUUUCUCUACCUACCUAUCUCAGUAGUCUCCUGUUAGGGCUGUUUCUCUGCUUCUCCUAAGUCGUGGAUGGUGGACAUCCUUGUGUGCCCACCUCCCCCCCAUUUCUCUGUCUUCUUUUACAUAACUAGCUCAGACUGCUUGGCUGUGUGGCUCCAGUGGUUACAGUUCCUAGGACGGAGAAUCUGAUUGACCCAGGUUCAGGUCAGGUGAAUUCUCUAGAUCCAGUCUGCUCUGGCCAGGUAACUGCUGCUGCUGAUUUAGGAGCAGCUUCAAAGGAUCAGCGUUGGAAAUAAGGAAGCCAAAAUCUUUUCUUGGUCACCGGGGAUAUGAUCAGCACAGGCUGACUUUGACCACAUGGAUGUUCUAAAUGCUCCUGGUGGCUGCCAGUUGUAUCCUGGAUGCCGCUCUCCAGGCUCCCUCUCGUAACUUCCACAGCCUCUAGCAGAGCACAACAUGAGCACGGCCUCAAAGAAAGGCCUGUGCCACAUCUACGUCAUGUCAGAAGGGAAGGUGAAAACUGUACUGUGUUUAGCCAAGCCUCUCCUAGUAGCAUGACAGGCAGGCAUUGAGGUGAGAGGGAGGAAGUGGAAAGAUAACCUGCCAAAUACGUGCCUUGAGGACCAAGUGGAUCCUCAUGGCUCCCUCCUUGCCUCCAGUAGCUUCAUCAACUUUAUUACUGAGCUUGUCCUGACAGACUGCUAGGCUUAUGUCCCUUUUACUCACAUCAGCAGGCCACGCGCCUGCCAUUGUCAGAGCAACCUCAAGUGGAUUGAGGAAUUCUUUUUUUAUAGUUGACAUCUUGUCCUUGGGAUCAGGUUUAACUUGUCUGUAGCCUGACUUCUGACUGAGAAAAACCAAGGAUGCCUCGGCUUCAUCACCUCAGGAGGUCCACUUGAAGGGGCGCUGCAGCUCCCCUCCCCACCCAUUGCUUUUCUUUAGCCUCUGUCUCCCCUCUCCUCCCUGCUUUAUUCCACCCUGUCCCCUGCUGGGUGUUUCUUGGCUGGUGAUCCGAUGUCUGGAGGAAGGCUCGCCCCCAGCAGAGACUGCUCAGAUGGCUUUCCCCGAUGUGUGCCGCCUUCAGGCAGACAGACUGUAACUGUUCAGGCAGGGCCACAGCAGGACUCUUUUCCUUCCUACAGCAGAUAAUUAUUGAGCAACAGAAACCAGCCAGGCACUGGGGACACAGCCAAUGAACUAAACAAAGGCCUGGUCUGGUGGGGAAGAGACUAGCAGCAUGAAGGUGUGACACAUCAGGUGGUGAGAAGCUCUGUGGGGAGAGGUUGAGGCAGAGUGAAGUCCUGGGAAGGGGGUUUACAGCUUUUAGUGAGGGUGGUUGGAAAAAACUUCUUACAAAAUGACACUUAAUAUUUGCCCAAAGGAAGUUGGGAGUGACUGAUCUGGCUGUCAAGGAGAAGAGUCUUCCAGGCAGAGAGAGGAGCUAGUGCAGAGGCCCUGAGGCUGGAGCAUGACUUGGUAUAUUAGCUGGAGUGGAUUGUGUGAGGAAGAAGGUAGUAGAUGAGGUAAUGGUGGGGCUUGCUUUCUGAGAUGGGAGUCAUGAGCUGAUCUGGAUUUUAUCAGAAUCGCCUGCCUUCUAGCUACUGUGUGGACACUGGAGUGUUGGUGGCAGUGCAGAAACAGGGCCCUUGUUGCAUCCUGGAUGUUUAGAGCGUGCCAAGGGCAAGUGUGCAGAAGUGGUACCACGUGGGCAGUGGUCCCCAAAGAAGAUGUGGGUCCUUUGGGGUUCAGAUUUUAGCUUGGGCACAUGAUCCACUUUUCUCAGCUUCCGUUUGCCAUCUAUUAAAAAUGGGAGAAACAGUGCCUGCUGUGAGGAGUUACCGGGGGCAAGUGCAUUCUGGGAGAGGCGGCAGCAAUAGUAAUGCUGUUAUUGCAUAUUGUGUCAUGAAAGGUCCCUGCGUCUCCGGUGCUAGGUGUUUUAUCAUCCCUCAGUUUAGGGUUGCCAGGGUUGCAUAGGCUGAAACCCUUCCAUUUCACAUGUGAGGAAAUAGGUAAUUAUAAAAAAAGAUGAAUCUGAGUGAAGGUUCAUCCUAAAACAGGCCUCCACAUUGCCUGCAGAAUAUUUUGGCUAAGAAAACUGCAGCUGUUCUCUUUAAUUUGGAGACCAAAGGAGUUUUAGUAUUUGUUGUUGAUUCUUGGUGGGUGUAAGACGGUUGGGGUUGGGCUACACCAGCUUACUAGCGUGUGCAAGUUAAAGUGUCAGUCCUUUUACCUUCAAGUUUCCUUAACAUAAUUGGAUUUUAAUAUUUUGCAAAUGGGCCCCGCUAUGGAAAUGUUACUUUCCUUCCUCUGGGACUGUGAUUACCAAAAUGUGGAAGCACAUGGAUGCCAGCUUUCUUCCACAGGUGAAAGCAGAAGGCUCACUUGUCUUAAAUGAACUAAAGACCUCAUACAUUCUUUCGUCUGUGUGCAACUCUUAUUUGUAAAGUUGUCAGAAUUGGAGAAAAAUAAAAAUAGAACAGUAAUUACCCACGUGCCCACCACCUAGAUGCCAUGAUGGUUGACGUUUUGUCAUGUUUGCCAAUUCUGUCUACUUACAGGUAUAUGUAGAUAGAUAUAAUCUAUGUUGGGUUUUUAGCUGAGCCAUCAGAAGCUGCUGACAUGAUACUUUUUCUCUAAGUACUUGAGCAUGCUAUAAGAAUGAGAGUGUUCUCCCUAUUCUAAUUCUGGUCACAUCUGAGAAAAUUUUAAAUGAUUCAGUAGUAUCUAAAGCCAAAUGCAUAUUGAAACUACCCCAGUUGUCUUCAAAGUGUUUUUCAAUAGCUUUAAAGAAAAAAAAAAAAAGUUCAGUUGGAGAUUAUGUCUAUAGUAAACAUCCAGAAGAGUCUUCAUAUCUCACUGCUUUUCCAAAGAGAGCACUUACCGUUAUAGAAUACCCUCACAUCUAUCUCAUUGUUUUUUCCUGAUUGUUGUGUAACUCCUUCCACUAUCUUGACUUCCUGUAAACUAGGAGUUGAAAUGUCUAUAAACAGUUUCUGGUUAAAACAUUUUAGUGUGAAGACUUCUAACAUGAUGCUGUGUACUUCAUACUCGGCAUACCAUGGGGAACAUCACUAUUUGUGAUGCUAAAUUGAUCUUUUUUGUGAUUAUGCAUUUUACCCUUUGAAUUAACAGGGCCAUUGUCAAGGUACUUGGACAUCCUGCAUGUGCCCUGCUCCUCACCAGCCUUUCACUUACUGGUUUUUAUAUCAGUUGGUGGUUCUUACCUGAAAAAACUGUUUCAUUGGCAUUUAAUUUACAAAAUGUAGGAGCCCCUUCAGGAGGGCUUCCUGGCUGGGUCAGCAGUAAAGAACCUGCCUGCAGUGCAAAAGACACAGGAGACGCGGGUUUGAAGAUCCCCUGGAGAGACGCGGGUUUGAAGAUCCCCUGGAGGAGGGCAUGGCAACCCACUUCAGUAUUCUGGUCACAAAAAUCCCAUGAACGGCAGGCUGUAGCCCCUAGGGUCACAAAGGGUUGGACACGACUGCAGUGACUGAGUGUGCCUGCACGCAGACCCUACCUUUUUGACAUGCUUCCACUAUUUUUAAUCAUUUCCUUGGUUUCACUAUUCUGUUCCUCGCAUUAGUCACCUUUCUCCAAAGAAUUCUGGUUCCUUGCAAUGGGUCUCAGACUUCUUUUAUUGACAGCUUUAUUGGAUAUAAUGUAUACAAUAAAAAUUUUAACUUGA